rnacentral:rRNA from 1 species
GACAGAGGGUGCAAACGUUGCGUCGGAAUCACUGGGCGUAAAGGGCGUGUAGGCGGAUCGGCAAGUCGGGACGUGAAACUCCCUCGGCUUAACCGGGGAACUGCGUCCGAUACUGGAUGGCUUGAGUUCGGGAGAGGGAUGCGGAAUUCCAGGUGUAGCGGUUGAAAUGCGUAGAUAUCUGGAGGAACACCGGUGGCGAAGGCGGCAUCCUGGACCGAUACUGACGCUGAGGAGCGAAAGCUAGGGGAGCAAACGGG